rnacentral:rRNA from 1 species
UACGUAGGGUGCGGGCGUUAAUCGGAAUUACUGGGCGUAAAGGGUGCGCAGGCGGUUAUAUAAGACAGAUGUGAAAUCCCCGGGCUCAACCUGGGAACUGCGUUUGUGACUGUAUGACUAGAGUACGGUAGAGAGGGGUGGAAUUCCCGGUGUAGCAGUGAAAUGCGUAGAUAUCGGGAGGAACACCAGUGGCGAAGGCGGCCUUCUGGACCAGUACUGACGCUCAUGCACGAAAGCGUGGGGAGCAAACAGG